CCAGGAGGUGGGAGAAAUCACGUGGUAUCCAUCGCGGGGAGUGGAGUAGAAUCGUGGUCAUUAUGGCGAUCUGCCAGGGAGUGAUGGAGCCAUGCAGAAUCCAUCACAGGAGGUGGAGCAGUGUCGUGGCCGUCACUGCAGCCUGCCAGGGAGUGAUGGAGCCGUGCGGAAUCCAUCGCAGGAGGUGGAGCAGUGUCGUAGCCGUCACUGCGGCCUGCCAGGGAGUGAUGGAGCCACGUGAAAUCCAUCGCAGGAGGUGGAGCAGUGUCGUGGCCGUCACUGCGGCCUGCCAGGGAGUGAUGGAGCCGCA
rnacentral:lncRNA from 1 species